AGAGAGAGACAUGCGCGCAUAUCAAUAAGCGGAGGAAAAGAAACUAACUAGGAUUCCCUCAGUAACGGCGAGUGAAGCGGGAAGAGCUCAAAUUUGAAAUCUUCAAGGUUCUACCUUGACGAAUUGUAGUUUAAAGAAGUGUUUUCUGUUGGAGUUUUGGUAAAAGUUCUUUGGAAUAGGACAUCAUAGAGGGUGAGAAUCCCGUAUUUGACCAUUAUUUCCAGCUUUGUGAUACACUUUCAAAGAGUCGGAUUGUUUGGGAAUGCAGUCCAAAAUGGGUGGUAAAUUUCAUCUAAAGCUAAAUAUUGGCGAGAGACCGAUAGCGAACAAGUACCGUGAGGGAAAGAUGAAAAGAACUUUGAAAAGAGAGUUAAACAGUACGUGAAAUUGUCAAAAGGGAAGCGUUUGACACCAGUGUUGUUUUUCUGAAAAUCAAUUAAAGAACUGUUUAUGCUAAGCUGUUUAGACUUUAUCAGCUAUCUGUUUAGUUUUGAGCUUUUCUUUAAUGCACUUUUCAGUUAACAAGUCAACAUCAAUUUCUUUUGCUGUAAAAAAGCUUGAGGAAGGUGGCUUGAGAUUCGUCUUAAGUGUUUAUAGCCUCUUGCCUAUGCAGUCGGAGAGAUUGAGGUCUGCAGCGUAGAUCCUUCGGGGCUAAAUGCAUUUGUGCUAAGUUAUAGCAUUUUAUAGACAACUUGUUGACUAUGAUUUAGUCUUGUAGCUUACUCGCUUAUGUUAUUUUACCUACGCUUAGGAUGUUGAUGUGAUACUGCGAGC
rnacentral:rRNA from 1 species